AAGAUACUGAAGUAAUAAAUACAUUUAGUUUCGACCUAAUUUUAGAAAAAAUUUUCCUUAUCU
rnacentral:tRNA from 1 species